UACAGAGGGGGCAAGCGUUGUUCGGAAUUACUGGGCGUAAAGAGCGUGUAGGCGGUCCGGUAAGUCCGCUGUGAAAGUCGGGGGCUCAACCCUCGAAUGCCGGUGGAUACUGUCGGGCUAGAGUGCGGAAGAGGCGAGUGGAAUUCCUGGUGUAGCGGUGAAAUGCGCAGAUAUCAGGAGGAACACCUAUUGCGAAGGCAGCUCGCUGGGACGUAACUGACGCUGAGACGCGAAAGCGUGGGGAGCAAACGGG
rnacentral:rRNA from 1 species